CCUGCCCUAGAGGUGUUUUGGAGUUAGCUGCUGUGUCACAUGUACAGCUGUAGGUGGCAGAGAGGAGGUAGGCUACGUGUAUGCUCAGUGCUCUCACCUAUGAUUAGUGGUUUAACAUU
ensembl:snoRNA